rnacentral:rRNA from 1 species
UACGUAGGGGGCAAGCGUUGUCCGGAAUUAUUGGGCGUAAAGAGCGUGUAGGCGGCCCGAUUAGUCCGCUGUGAAAGUCCAGGGCUCAACCCUGGAAUGCCGGUGGAUACUGUCGGGCUAGAGUCCGGAAGGGGCGAGUGGAAUUCCUGGUGUAGCGGUGAAAUGCGCAGAUAUCAGGAGGAACACCGGUGGCGAAGGCGGAUCUCUGGGCCUUACCUGACGCUGAGGCGCGAAAGCUAGGGGAGCAAACAGG